AACUCCUGAACUCAGGUGAUCCACCCACUGCAGCCUCCCAAAGUGCUGGGAUUACAGGCGUGAGCCACCAUGCCCAGCCUUUCCUGACUUUAAACUAAAGGAGUGAGACUAGAAGGUCCCUGUGAUUCUGAAUUAUGUGGCUUCCUCUGGAAUUUCUAGGUUUUCCCCUUGAUCCCAGCAGGGUUGUACUGCCUAAGAGAGCUUGGAAAGGGAUAGAGAAGUCUGACCCAAAUUUGCGGAGCGACUGAGUGUAUGCUGCCCCCUUUCUGGGCCUUGGCUUCUUCCUCAAUCAUCUAGGCACAGUCCUAUGACUGCCUGUUUUUGAGGAUGUGGGAAGGGUCUGCAAAUACAGUGCUUUCCCAUUGACACACGCUGGUGAGGAUGCAGGCUCCCUGGCACCAGCAGUGAGGGCUCAGAUUGCAAGAGUAAAAACUUCCAUCACUGGGAAGAGAAGUCUGCAGGGGACUGGAGGUGAUCUGAAGAUUCUGAAAUAACUCUUCCUCUCUCUGCAGAGAAGGAUGGUGCUUCAUCCUGUUUAGGAAAGUCUUUGGGUUCGGAGGAUUCCAGAAACAUGAAGGAGAAGUUGGAGGACAUGGAGAGUGUCCUCAAGGACCUG
rnacentral:lncRNA from 10 species